GAUGAACGCUGGCGGCGUGCCUAACACAUGCAAGUCGAACGGAGUUAUGCAGAGGAAGUUUUCGGAUGGAAUCGGCGUAACUUAGUGGCGGACGGGUGAGUAACGCGUGGGAAACCUACCCUGUACACACGGAUAACAUACCGAAAGGUAUGCUAAUACGAGAUAAUAUGUUUCAUUCGCAUGUUUGAAACAUCAAAGCUCCGGCGGUAUGGGAUGGACCCGCGUCUGAUUAGCUAGUUGGUGAGGUAACGGCUCACCAAGGCGACGAUCAGUAGCCGACCUGAGAGGGUGAUCGGCCACAUUGGAACUGAGACACGGUCCAAACUCCUACGGGAGGCAGCAGUGGGGAAUAUUGCACAAUGGGCGAAAGCCUGAUGCAGCAACGCCGCGUGAACGAUGAAGGCCUUCGGGUCGUAAAGUUCUGUCCUCAAGGAAGAUAA
rnacentral:rRNA from 1 species